UGAAACGGCAAACCGCCUGAAAGGACGGGACGCAAAGCCAGGGGGCUACCGCGGGAGACCGCAAUGCCGGCCCAGCUGCCA
rnacentral:ncRNA from 1 species